rnacentral:RNase_P_RNA from 1 species
AAGGUGGACUGUUCUGUCGCGCCGGUUGCGGUGAGGAAAGUCCGGACAGCAAAGAGCACCUCCCUGUGGAAAGCACAGAUGGGCGUAAGCUUAUGGUUGGUGUAACAGAAAACAACCGCCGGCGGGAGCGGACCCGUUCCUUUGCCGGCAAGGGUGAAAACGUGAGGCAAGAGCUCACGGGCUGCGGCGGUGACGCCGUGGCGGUACACACCGGAGGGCUGCAAGGCCAAAUAUACCGACAGUCAAGGGUUGCUCGUCCUUUGUCGGGGGGUAGGCUGCAUCAGAUAAAUGACAGAAGCCCGCAAGGGUACAGAAUUCGGCUUACAAGUCCGCCUUUUUU